UAAGUGGAGCGUGAAAGCGUGCGGCUCAACCGCAUUACUGCGUUCCAAACUAUAAAGCUUGAGUAUGGGAGAGGUAGAUGGAAUUUCUAGUGUAGGAGUGAAAUCCGUAGAUAUUAGAAGGAACACCGAUGGCGUAGGCAGUCUACUGGCCCAUUACUGACACUAAGGCACGAAAGCGUGGGUAGCAAACUGGAUUAGAUACCCAGGUAGUCCACGCUGUAAACUAUGGAUGCUA
rnacentral:rRNA from 1 species